UACGAGAGGCCCAAACGUUAUUCGGAAUUACUGGGCUUAAAGAGUUCGUAGGCGGCGCAGAAAGUAGGGUGUGAAAGCCCUCGCUUAACCGAGGAAUUGCGCCCUAAACUACUGUGCUUGAGGAACCUAGAGGUGAGCAGAACAGAUGGUGGAGCGGUGAAAUGCGUUGAUAUCAUCUGGAAUACCGGAGGCGAAGGCGGCUCACUGGGGGUUUUCUGACGCUGAG
rnacentral:rRNA from 1 species